AACGAACGCUGGCGGCAUGCCUAACACAUGCAAGUCGAACGAGACCUUCGGGUCUAGUGGCGCACGGGUGCGUAACGCGUGGGACCCUGCCCUUAGGUUCGGAAUAACUCCCCGAAAGGGGUGCUAAUACCGGAUAAUGUCUUCGGACCAAAGAUUUAUCGCCUUUGGAUGGGCCCGCUUUGGAUUAGCUAGUUGGUAGGGUAAAAGCCUACCAAGGCGACGAUCCAUAGCUGGUCUGAGAGGAUGAUCAGCCACACUGGGACUGAGACACGGCCCAGACUCCUACGGGAGGCAGCAGUGGGGAAUAUUGGACAAUGGGCGAAAGCCUGAUCCAGCAAUGCCGCGUGAGUGAUGAAGGCCUUAGGGUUGUAAAGCUCUUUUACCCGGGAUGAUAAUGACAGUACCGGGAGAAUAAGCGCCGGCUAACUCCGUG
rnacentral:rRNA from 1 species